rnacentral:rRNA from 1 species
UAUGUGAUCGUCUCUCGCAUAUCAAUAAGCGGAGGAAAAGAAACUAACAAGGAUUCCCCUAGUAACGGCGAGUGAAGCGGGAAGAGCUCAAAUUUGAAAUCUUAAAGGGUUUCCCUUUACGAAUUGUAGUUUAAAGAAGUGUUUUCUGUUGAGGUUUUGGUAAAAGUUCUUUGGAAUAGGACAUCAUAGAGGGUGAGAAUCCCGUAUUUGACCUUUACUUUCAACUUUGUGAUACACUUUCAAAGAGUCGGAUUGUUUGGGAAUGCAGUCCAAAAUGGGUGGUAAAUUUCAUCUAAAGCUAAAUAUUGGCGAGAGACCGAUAGCGAACAAGUACCGUGAGGGAAAGAUGAAAAGAACUUUGAAAAGAGAGUUAAACAGUACGUGAAAUUGUCAAAAGGGAAGCGUUUGACACCAGUGUUGUUUUUCUGAAAAUCAAUUAAAGAACUGUUUAUGCUAAGCUGUUUAGACUUUAUCAGCUAUCUGUUUAGUUUUGAGCUUUUCUUUAAUGCACUUUUCAGUUAACAAGUCAACAUCAAUUUCUUUUGCUGUAAAAAAGCUUGAGGAAGGUGGCUUGAGAUUCGUCUUAAGUGUUUAUAGCCUCUUGCCUAUGCAGUCGGAGAGAUUGAGGUCUGCAGCGUAGAUCCUUCGGGGCUAAAUGCAUUUGUGCUAAGUUAUAGCAUUUUAUAGACAACUUGUUGACUAUGAUUUGUCUUGUAGCUUACUCGCUUAUGUUAUUUUACCUACGCUUAGGAUGUUGAAUCUGUGCGAGACUAC